CGUGUAGGCGGCUGGAUAAGUCAGAUGUGAAAGCCCUGGGCUUAACCCAGGAAGUGCAUUUGAAACUGUUCAGCUUGAGUAAGGGGGAGGAAAGUGGAAUUCCUGGUGUAGAGGUGAAAUUCGUAGAUAUCAGGAGGAACACCGGUGGCGAAGGCGACUUUCUGGCCCUAUACUGACGCUGAGACGCGAGAGCGUGGGUAGCAAACA
rnacentral:rRNA from 1 species